rnacentral:misc_RNA from 1 species
GCAUUCUUCACAGCUUCAUGAUGAGGAGGCUUGAUUUCAUUACUCUGUGAGUAGUGAGGACUGAUCUUCCCCUAUUUAUCAUUAGUAAGUAAAGAUUGCUCAACGAUUACAUCUAGAUGAGAAGAAGAAUAACAACAACCAAGCCUUAAUCUCAAACUAGUUGGAAUCGACUAUACGGAUCAAUUUUCAUCCUUCAACUGUGUUAGUAGACGAGACAAGAAGAACAACACCUCCCAC